rnacentral:rRNA from 1 species
GCCUACCAAGGCGACGAUCUGUAGCGGGUCUGAGAGGAUGAUCCGCCACACUGGGACUGAGACACGGCCCAGACUCCUACGGGAGGCAGCAGUGGGGAAUAUUGGACAAUGGGGGGAACCCUGAUCCAGCCAUGCCGCGUGUGUGAAGAAGGCCUUAUGGUUGUAAAGCACUUUAAGCGAGGAGGAGGCUACUUUAGUUAAUACCUAGAGAUAGUGGACGUUACUCGCAGAAUAAGCACCGGCUAACUCUGUGCCAGCAGCCGCGGUAAUACAGAGGGUGCGAGCGUUAAUCGGAUUUACUGGGCGUAAAGCGUGCGUAGGCGGCUUAUUAAGUCGGAUGUGAAAUCCCCGAGCUUAACUUGGGAAUUGCAUUCGAUACUGGUGAGCUAGAGUAUGGGAGAGGAUGGUAGAAUUCCAGGUGUAGCGGUGAAAUGCGUAGAGAUCUGGAGGAAUACCGAUGGCGAAGGCAGCCAUCUGGCCUAAUACUGACGCUGAGGUACGA